UUUGACAUUCAGCAAUUCUAUUGAGUUCAUACCUAAUUUACAUCUUCACAUUGAUCAGAGUGCUAAAUGCAUACUAUAAAAAGGUAACAGUGUAGCUAGGAAACUUGAAGGUUAGGAAGCUUGUGCAUUUGGACAAAACAGAAGAUUGGUAAUCCUUUGAAGGUGAUUUCUCUGCAGAAAAGGCUCAAUUUUGCUAAGAUGUGAGUGGAGGAUCAUUUGUCCAAAGAAGAAAAUAAUAAAAUUGGUGUUUGGACAUUUUGACAUUUAUGACAGUGGUGAAAAUGGAAACAACUGCUAUGAUGAUUUUCUGACUGUGUUUGAUGGACCAGAAGAAAAGGAAAACAUGAAAGGCAGAUUCUGUGGAAGUAUACCGCCAUGCACCAUCUGGUCCAGUGAUGCAUUUCUUACAGUGAAGUUCAGCUCAGACAAUGUAAACACAGCUUCUGGAUUCUUACUGAGUUACACCUGUGAGGAUUACAGAAAAGACUAACUUCCUUUUCCCCAGGAUGACCUUUUACAAUUAGAACUAGGCUAUAAUGUGGCUUGCAUAUGUUAGAAACGUUUGCAAUAGUAUGCAGAUAUGUUAUAUAUGUCAUAUAUGUCUGAGCUGAAGUCAUGAUUCCUAAUGUUCAGUUCUGCUGAAUUAUCAUGCUGACUGGAAUUCCAUCAAGGACAAUAACAUGCUCCAGAGCAAAAGAGUGUAGUGUGCUGAGACUGAUAAUGUAAUACAGAAAAAUUUACCGCCAAAUUUCAGAAACUGAAAUUAUGAAAUUUCAUCUACAUUACAACAUGGAAGUCUUUUGUUAAUCAAACUAUGAGUGAGGUUUCUAAACAGAAAUGGUCAUUAAAACAUAUGUGUGAAGGAUAUACAAGGUAAAAUUGUUAUGUUACCAUCAACACAAGAGUAAGACAAUAUGGACUCAUGUCCACGGGAAAAAUAUGCUGAUAAUCCUCGAUUACCCUGAAAACAAAUGCGUACAGGAUGAAAUAGCAGCCAGAAUUUUUUAAGUCUUCAUUCCACAAGGUAUAUUGAAGUUUUCCUACCUGUUUCCAAUUUGAGAUAGAGCAUUUUCAGCAAAAGGCUACAGCUGUUUUUAAAUUCUGGUCAUAUUUGCAAUCAGUAUUUAAGCUGUACAGUAUAAACCUUGGCUCUAGGUGAUUAUCGCGCUUGAAGUAACACCUUGACCCCAUGUGCAAAAGUGGGAAAAGUGGCUGUGGAUGGAUGGACAGAUUCAAGUUGUACACAACAAACAUGAUUACUCAAAUAGUUAAUGUUGACCAUUAUUCUACAUGUUCUCCGUUGUUUAAACAAAACUCCAUCAAUGACUAUACCAUUCUUUAUGCAAGUGUCAGGAUGCUUUGAUUUGUUAUAUUUAAAUAUACUUAAAUAUUCAGUAUAUUAUAGUCUGGACUGUAUGCUUCUUGAAUACUCUUACUGAUAUGCCAUUAGCCAACCUUAAAACAGUAGUUUAUGAUUUUUUUUUUAAUGUGGGUGCUAUUAUAUUAGAAAUUUGAAUAAAAAAAUUAAAGAAGGAUAAAUCACAGUGCCAAGCUGUACAGUUUAUAAUUUAGCACUGGUAGUUGUCCUGCUCUGACAAGAUAUGCUUCUCGUAUGGAAAACUGAUAACAGAACAAAGAUCAUGACCACACAUUUUUUACAUAUGGACUAAACAUAUGGUACAGUACAGAGGUUCAGUGGCAUACACGUACAUGUAUCUAAAUUACUGCUGUACAAAUCAUAAUAAAGCAAAUGUCCAAACACUGCAUUUUAAGGAUCUCGUUUAACUCUGUGUAAAAACAGUGUGUUGCUGAGCUUCUGGAUCAAAAUUCUGUGACAAUUAUGGGCAUGUUUUGUGAUAUGGACAUAACAAUGAAAAGUUUGUAAUAGAUCUGUGGUGAAGGCUCCAUUCCCCAUAUUACUUUGCUGAAGAGGGAAACAUCUAUGUAGAGAAAUGAAGAAGACUUUAGCCUAAAUGGGCAUUUAUCCUGCAAACUUCUGACUUUAGGCAUUGAAAUACACCAAUAGAAACAUUCAUUCAUAUCUCAGUGGUCUUCUACAGUAUGACCAAAUUCAGUCAUAUUUUGACUUGCUUUUAUGUUCUUACAUCCUGUUUUGCUAUACAAUACAUUUUAGUAAGUCUUACUUUCAAGAAUGGUUUUAUGCUGCUUUUUCAUAACUGGCGGACUGUGUUGACAAGAUUUUAUUUAUUUUAUUCUCUUCUGUUGCACAACUAAGCAUUAAUACUCCAAUAAAGUCAUUUA